rnacentral:rRNA from 1 species
GAAAGUGGCGAACGGGUGAGUAACACGUAAGAAUCUACCUUUAGGACGGGGAUAACUUCUGGAAACGGAUGCUAAUACCCGAUAUGCUGUGGAGUGAAAGAAUUUCGCCUAAAGAUGAUCUUGCGUCUGAUUAGCUAGAUAGGGUGGUAACGGCACACUAUGGCGACGAUCAGUAGCUGGUCUGAGAGGAUGGACAGCCACAUUGGAACUGAGACACGGUCCAAACUCC